rnacentral:rRNA from 1 species
UUUGAAACUGGCAGGCUAGAGUCUUGUAGAGGGGGGUAGAAUUUCAGGUGUAGCGGUGAAAUGCGUAGAGAUCUGAAGGAAUACCAGUGGCGAAGGCGGCCCCCUGGACAAAGACUGACGCUCAGAUGCGAAAGCGUGGGUAGCAAACAGGAUUAGAUACCCUGGUAGUCCACGCCGUAAACGCUGUCUACUUGGAGGUUGAGGUUUUAGACUUUGGCUUUCGGCGCUAACGCAUUAAGUAGACCGCCUGGGGAGUACGGCCGCAAGGUUAAAACUCAAAUGAAUUGACGGGGGCCCGCACAAGCGGUGGAGCAUGUGGUUUAAUUCGAUGCAACGCGAAGAACCUUACCUACUCUUGACAUCCAGCGAAGCCUUUAGAGAUAGAGGUGUGCCUUCGGGAGCGCUGAGACAGGUGCUGCAUGGCUGUCGUCAGCUCGUGUUGUGAAAUGUUGGGUUAAGUCCCGCAACGAGCGCAACCCUUAUCCUUGUUUGCCAGCACAUAAUGGUGGGAACUCCAGGGAGACUGCCGGUGAUAAACCGGAGGAAGGUGGGGACGACGUCAAGUCAUCAUGGCCCUUACGAGUAGGGCUACACACGUGCUACAAUGGCAGAUACAGAGGGCAGCGAGACAGCGAUGUUUAGCGAAUCCCUUAAAGUUUGUCGUAGUCCGGAUUGGAGUCUGCAACUCGACUCCAUGAAGUCGGAAUCGCUGGUAAUCGUGGAUCAGAAUGCCACGGUGAAUACGUUCCCGGGCCUUGCACACACCGCCCGU